GCUCCAGUGGCCUAGAGGUUAGAGCGUCAGCCUUGGAUAUUGGAGAUCGCAGGUUCAAACCCCGGCCGAGUCA